CCUACGUGCGGCAGCAGUGGGGAAUAUUGGGCAAUGGGCGCAAGCCUGACCCAGCAACGCCGCGUGAAGGAAGAAGGCUUUCGGGUUGUAAACUUCUUUUCUCAGGGACGAAGAAAGUGACGGUACCUGCGGAUUAAGCCACGGCUAACUACGUGCCAGCAGCCGCGGUAAUCCGUAGGUGGCAAGCGUUAUCCGGAUUUGCUGGGUGUAAAGAGCGUGUAGGCGGGAAGGCAAGUCAGAUGUGAAACCCUUGGGCUCAACCUGUGGCUUGCAGUUGAUACUGGUUUCCUUGAGUACUGGAGAGGCAGACGGAAUUCGUAGUGUAGCGGUGAAAUGCGUAGAUAUCAGGAGGAACACCAGUGGCGAAGGCGGUCUGCUGGACAGUAACUGACGCUGAGGCGCGAAAGCGUGGGGAGCAAACAGGAUUAGAUACCCGUGUAGUC
rnacentral:rRNA from 1 species